CGGCUGGGGCCCAGCCCACGGAGGCCGGCGGAAGGCGGUGGCCGAAGAGCCGCGCCCCUUGUGGAGCGCAUGCUGUGUGACCCGCGCCUGCCUUUCCCGCCGCCGCCCGGCUAGGGCCCAUCUCAGGUUGGACUGGCUACGUUUCAAGAGCUCAGCAACCACGUGGCUCCUGCAUUGGACCCUGCAAUGCUAGUUGGGGAGACAGAAAAGAAAUGAAGCGGAUUCCACAUCAAGCGGUGGAAAGGGUUUUGAGAGAGAGAGAGAGAGAGAGACAGAGACAGAGCACGAGCAGGGGAGGGGCAGAGAGAGAGGAAGACCCAGAAUCCGAAGCAGGCUCCAGGCUCUGAGCUGUCAGCACAGAGCCCGACGCGGGGCUCGAACCCACAAACCGUGAGCUCACGAUCUGAGCUGAAGUCGGGUGCUUAACUGACUGAGUCACCCAGGCGCCCCGAGAUGGGAGUUUUAAUCAUUGUCGCCAUGGUGAAGAAUGAAAUCCUUCAUUUAUUCAUCUAUGCCUUGUUAUCAUUCUCAUGAAUAGACUUUGUCUUUUGGAACAGUU